CCUACGGGAGGCAGCAGUGAGGAAUAUUGGACAAUGGAGGAGACUCUGAUCCAGCCAUGCCGCGUGCAGGAAGAAUGCCCUAUGGGUUGUAAACUACUUUUAUACAGGAAGAAACAUUGGUAUGUAUACCAGCUUGACGGUACUGUAAGAAUAAGGACCGGCUAACUCCGUGCCAGCAGCCGCGGUAAUACGGAGGGUCCGAGCGUUAUCCGGAAUCAUUGGGUUUAAAGGGUCCGCAGGCGGUCUAUUAAGUCAGAGGUGAAAUCCCAUAGCUCAACUAUGGAACUGCCUUUGAUACUGGUUGACUUGAGUCAUAUGGAAGUAGAUAGAAUGUGUAGUGUAGCGGUGAAAUGCAUAGAUAUUACACAGAAUACCGAUUGCGAAGGCAGUCUACUACGUAUGUACUGACGCUGAGGGACGAAAGCGUGGGGAGCGAACAGGAUUAGAUACCCUGGUAG
rnacentral:rRNA from 1 species